rnacentral:rRNA from 1 species
GAUGAACGCUGGCGGCGUGCCUAAUACAUGCAAGUCGAGCGAACAGACGAGGAGCUUGCUCCUCUGACGUUAGCGGCGGACGGGUGAGUAACACGUGGAUAACCUACCUAUAAGACUGGCAUAACUUCGGGAAACCGGAGCUAAUACCGGAUAAUAUAGUGAACCGCAUGGUUCAAUAGUGAAAGACGGUUUUGCUGUCACUUAUAGAUGGAUCCGCGCCGCAUUAGCUAGUUGGUAAGGUAACGGCUUACCAAGGCAACGAUGCGUAGCCGACCUGAGAGGGUGAUCGGCCACACUGGAACUGAGACACGGUCCAGACUCCUACGGGAGGCAGCAGUAGGGAAUCUUCCGCAAUGGGCGAAAGCCUGACGGAGCAACGCCGCGUGAGUGAUGAAGGUCUUCGGAUCGUAAAACUCUGUUAUUAGGGAAGAACAAAUGUGUAAGUAACUAUGCACGUCUUGACGGUACCUAAUCAGAAAGCCACGGCUAACUACGUG